GUACCACCUGGCCCAGCUGCGGGGCGCCUGGGCUGGCAGGACGGCCGGGUGCCCGGACCUUCCUUCCACAUUUCCGAAGCCGCGUCUUCAAUGCGCUGGGAGGCUCUCCUAUCGAUUCAGCAUCUAAUCUGGUUUCCCAUCUGCUUUGCGAAGGGCCCUUCACGCCUCUCUCCACUUGGUAUUUCCUAAUCCUCAAACGCUGCUUACUUACCGCUCUCUCCUGAGGGACGCCCAGCUCCUUCUCACCCCCUUGACACUCCUGCUCUGUCUCCCUCCCUCCCGGCCAUGGCCUCGCCUCGCGACACGGGCAGCCCGGAGCCUGGGGGGGCUGUUCCUGGAGCAGAACAUCAGCCACUCCCUCCUUCUUUAACCCAGCGCUCAUGGGGUGCCUCCUCUGGGCCAGACACAGGGGCCCGUGUCUGCGGUCCUCUCCGGAAGCAGUGUGUCUGUCGGGGAGCCGAGAUGAGAGGAAGCGCGUGCCCAGCACGGCCGGGGGCUCCCGGAGCCGUUACAAGCCCCCCAUCCACCGCCCUGCAGACGGGAGGUUGUCCCCACUGUGCAGAUGAGCAAAUUGAGGGAGAAAAUUGGACCAUGUGAAUCUGAUGCUCGGGGGGAAAAAUCAACCCACAAAAAUUGUCAAGAUGGCUCUGCAAAGGACGAUCAUGAAGGAGGGUGACUGACCAGAUAUUAAAGCUGAUUCCAAAGCUACGGCAAAUAAAUGGUAUACUCCUGGCAUGAGGACAAAAUGAUCCGUGGGAGAGAAAGAGUUCAAAGGCUCUUCCCAAUAUACACUGGAACUUAAAACAUGACAAAGGGCUGAAAAGAGCUGGGACAGCUGACCAUCCAGUUAGAAACAAAGUUAAAUCCCUACCUCACACUGUACACAAGAAUAAUUUCCAAACAAGUUAAAGGCAAAGGAGUUUUGUUGUUGCUUUUUGAACUACAAGCAUAUGGAAAGUAAUAAAGAUAAAUAUCCUU